CCCGCUGAACUUAAGCAUAUCAAUAAGGGGAGGAAAAGAAAAUAACUAUGAUUCCCUCAGUAACGGCGAGUGAAGCGGGAUCAGCUCAAGCUCUUAAUCGGAGGUGUCUACACUUUCGAAUUGUAGUUUUGAGAGAGGGUCUAAAGGUUGAGGAGGAGACUAAGUUUGUUGGAAAACAGCGCCAAAGAGGGUGACAGCCCCGUGAGUCUCCUUGCUCUUCUGUAUAUUCCCUUUUCUUAGAGUCGGGUUGUUUGAGAGUACAGCCCAAAAUAGGUGGUAAGUUCCAUCUAAAGCUAAAUAUUGGCGGGAGACCGAUAGCAAACAAGUACCGCGAGGGAAAGAUGAAAAGAACUUUGAAAAGAGAGUCAAAAGGACUUGAAAUUGCUAAAGCGAAGCAAUUGACACUAUCUUGAGGGGGGUAGAUAUUCAGUUUCGAAGGAGUGGAAACGGGGCUGCUGAAGCAGGGAUACCUGUUCACUGUCUUGUCUAAGCUCCUUUGGGGUGCACUUAUCUAUCUUCCGAACCAUCUUGGCUCAAUCGUUGGUUAGAAUAGUGGGAGGGAGGUACUCUGGUUGCGGCUAGGGGAAUACCUUCUACAAGAUGACCAAUGGUUGAGUGAGGGGAGAUUCUUCUCCAAAUGGUGUGCUCAGCGGAGUAAAGGGGUCACAUGCGGGGGUAGUUGGGGUCAAUGCAUGCAUUAGCUCUUUCUAUCUCUGUAUCCUGGCUUCUGCCUUCCUACAUCAUAAUGAAGAUGGUAUGAUGGUGCCAAUUGUCCCGUCUUGAAACACGG
rnacentral:rRNA from 1 species